CAGACGGGUGAGUAAUGUAUAGGAAUCUACCUAGUAGUACGGAAUAAUUGUUGGAAACGGCAACUAAUACCGUAUACGCCCUACGGGGGAAAAAUUUAUUGCUAUUAGAUGAGCCUAUAUUAGAUUAGUUAGUUGGUGAGGUAAAGGCUUACCAAGACAAUGAUCUAUAGCUGAUCUGAGAGGAUGAUCAGCCACACUGGAACUGAGAUACGGUCCAGACUCCUACGGGAGG
rnacentral:rRNA from 1 species